UGGCGUUCAGAGAUUUUGAGACCUAGGCUCAACAUCUAGGUAUGACCUCCCGUAGGGAGUUGCUACCGUCCGUGCUACCUAAGUAAAGUAUCACAAAAAAA
rnacentral:misc_RNA from 1 species